rnacentral:rRNA from 1 species
CUGGGUCGGGAUAAACCCGGGAAACUGGGUAUAAUGUCCGAUAGAUCUGGAGGCUGGAAUGCGUCCAGGUUCAAAGCUCCGGCGCCCAAGGAUGGGUCUGCGGCCUAUCAGGUUGUAGUGGGUGUAAUGUACCUACUAGCCUAAAACGGGUACGGGUUGUGAGAGCAAGAGCCCGGAGAUGGAUUCUGAGACACGAAUCCAGGCCCUACGGGGUGCAGCAGGCGCGAAACCUUUACAAUGCGGGCAACCGCGAUAAGGGGACCUCGAGUGCCGACAUCUAAUGUCGGCUGUCGUGAUGCCUAAAAAGCAUUAUAUAGCAAGGGCCGGGCAAGACCGGUGCCAGCCGCCGCGGUAACACCGGCGGCUCGAGUGGUGACCGCUAUUAUUGGGUUUAAAGGGUCUGUAGCCGGCCGGAUAAGUCUCUUGGGAAAUCUGGCCGCUUAACGGUCAGGCUUUCAGGAGAUACUGUCUGGCUCGAGGCCGGGAGAGGUGAGAGGUACUUCAGGGGUAGGGGUGAAAUCUUGUAAUCCUUGAAGGACCACCAGUGGCGAAGGCGUCUCACCAAAACGGACCUGACGGCAAGGGACGAAAGCUAGGGGCACGAACCGGAUUAGAUACCCGGGUAGUCCUAGCCGUAAACGAUACUCGCUAGGUGUCGGCCGCGGUGCGACCGUGGUCGGUGCCGUAGGGAAACCGUGAAGCGAGCCACCUGGGAAGUACGGCC